rnacentral:lncRNA from 1 species
UACCAAAAAAUCAGUAGUAAUAAAACACUAGCAUAAAACACUAGCACUAGUCAUAACACAUAGAAUCUUCUGUAGCACCCGGAUUUAAGAAAAAAAUCAGUUACACACCAUAUAUGAGCUCAAAUCUCACAUAUAGCUACAAAUAGGGGUAAUAUCAAUAGACAAUGCUUAAUAUAUAACGGACUUAAUUUAAAGAUAUAACCUUAGAUAGCAAAC